GUGUGUGAAGUGGGUGUGCGCCACGAGUCGAUCGUGGAUCUUUCAUGCCACUGCAGCAGGAUACAGACUUCCGGAAGUGUGUGUCGUAUUAGCCAAUGAGAUGCCUUGAACAUCAAGUGUCAUAGUCUCGCAGGAUUUUACAGGAUUUUGAUAGUGAGCUGAAGCACAACACGGAGCAAUGCCCAGUACCGACUGAAGAACUUUGCAUGUUAAUAAGGUAAGUUUACUUCAAGUUUUGUUUUUUUUAACUAAUAUUCUUUUGACUGUAGGAGUUUUGUGCAACUUUUUACAUUCUUUAAAAAAAAUAUAUAAAAAGUACCAUUCGAUAUAGAUUGCUAAUUUUAGCUGUAGAUCACUGACUGCUAAUCGCUAGCUUCAGGUUUCUAGUUUUUAUUUUAUUUUCAUAUAAACUUCAUUAACAUUUUACAAUUUAUUACAUAAAACAGAAGAAUAUGGGAGUACAGCAAGCACUGUUCCCUGAGAUACAACUAUGUGAGACUGUUUGCUUGCUUCUGUUAGCUAAAGCUAGUUAGCUGCUAACCAAUAGCUUUGGAGACUGCCUAUGCUUUCACUUGCAUACAGCCUUCCAGUUUAGUUUAUGACAAUGCAAUGCACACUACUUUGAAAUUUGGUCAUAAUUCAAUAUAAUUGGUGUUUUGAUAUAAUUAGGGGUAAAUAUGGUCCAUUUGGUACAUGGAUUAAAACAUGAAUGAUAGUCGGAUGGAUAUUGUCACCUUGGGCAUACAUUACAUUGUCAUCAUUUCAUAUUGAACUCCUUGAUGGGAUAGACUUUCAGUUAUUUUGACUGCUAUUACAUUUAAAAACGUAUCAAUAAGAUGGAUCUACUUUCUGUGUAUGACUACUCUUCCCCAUGCUCUGAGCCGGGGUGUGUUUCAUGCGCCCAGCCGAGCACAUGGCUAAUUAAGCCUGUGAAUAUUCAUGAGAUACCAGAGUGACAACAACACGGUGGUGGAUUGUAAUACCUACAGUGCGGAGUUUCAACGUGGUGUCUAACGUUAACAGACGUUUGAGCCAGGAUGUCCAAAAGGAAGUCCAGGAUAAAGCCUGUCUAAGAUGCAAUGUCGUACAUUCUGUCUUCGAGAGACAAGCCAUGGUUUGCAGAAAGAUUUAUCAACAAUAUCAAAGGCUGUAAGCAAGAAGGCUUCUGCUGUGGCAGUAGAAGCAAACACCUUCCCUACAGUGCUGACUUCCCAUGAGGAUUCAAAGGGAGAUUAUGCUGGGGCACAGGUAAUGAAGUAAUGUGGAUAAUGCUG